rnacentral:lncRNA from 12 species
CAUCUUUUGCUAGCAGCCUAUGAGUAAUAUAUUUCCAAAUCAUUACACUUAGCCUUAUUCAACAGCUGGAAAGAGCCCUGGAAAUGGAUCACUUCAUUUACCUUUUUAUCAAUAACUCUGAAAAGACACUAGAUGCAUUUUAUUCUCCACUAUGGUACUCAUGCUGGUUAUACUCUCCGUGGAAUCCCCAUUAGCAGCCAUUGUUGAGAAGCUCUCUGUCUGGACUAUGGGGUCAAAGCUCUAGCCUGGGAGAGAGAAUGGUUUGCGGCUGGUGUCUCCUCUAAAUGGCAAGUACGGUGGCUACAGAAAACUAAAAAUAACUAUGGGUCCAGCUCAGGAUAAGAGAGACAUUACAACUCAAGGACACUUUUCUGAAAAUAUCUAAGUGAUAAAAUAUAUUUUUAAACGUUGUUUUCUGAAUGAUUAUUGCCACUGAAAAAUAAUAGUAGCA